rnacentral:rRNA from 1 species
AACGAACGCUGGCGGCGUGCUUAACACAUGCAAGUCGAACGUGAAAGACUUCGGUCGAGUAAAGUGGCGAACGGGUGAGUAACGCGUGGGUAAUCUGCCCUCGGGCGGGGGAUAACCUCUCGAAAGGGGGCGUAAUACGCAUGAGACCACGGCUUCUUGGAGCUGUGGGAAAAGGUGGGUCGCAAGACCAGCCACCUGAGGAUGAGCCCGCGUACCAUUAGGUAGUUGGUGGGGUAAUGGCCUACCAAGCCUGAGAUGGUUAGCUGGUCUGAGAGGACGAUCAGCCACACUGGGACUGAGACACGGCCCAGACUCCUACGGGAGGCAGCAGUGGGGAAGUAUUGCGCAAUGGGGGAAACCCGUGACGCAGCAACGCCGCGUGUGUGAAGAAAGGCC